UAUAUUCUUACUGCAUGUUUAUAUUCCUGAGCAAUUCAUAGUAUUCUAUUAUGUUAUAUAGUAUAUAUAUAAUAUAGUUAUUCUACAACUUUUUCUUUAACAUUUUUGAGAUUCAGCUAUGGAUUCAUUUAACUCUGGUAUAUUCAUUUGUAAUUCAUAUGUAGUAUUUUAUGACUGUAUCACAGUUUAACCAUUUGAUGAUGGCCAUUGUUUCUAAUUUUUGCUAAUUAAUAAUAAUAAUUUUGAUAGCUGACAUAAGAGUGUUCAUUAUAUGUUAGGUAAGAGCUUUCUAUAAAUGCUGCUGGGAACAUUUUUACGCAGAAUGUUUCUAUAUACCUAGCGGUGAAAUUGCUUACUUCAGCCUAACUCCCCUUCUAAAUAAAAACCUAAGGCCAUGAGGAUCAGGAUUUGAUGUCUAUUCUAAAGUGUCUUGUUUGAUGCCCAGGUUGGAAGCAUGUCACCAUGAGUCAACUAAGCAAUAACUAGAAUAUUAUUUAUUCCAGGCAUCUUUCUUUCUUUUUUUUUUUUAACUUUCUGUAUUUUGAG
rnacentral:lncRNA from 1 species